GCAGGAAGUGACAGGAAGUGAGAGGAGAGUUCUAUAGCAUGUGUAGAGAUCAAAGGUUGAUUACUAGCUGUGGCCUUCCACAGUCCUUUUCACCUUUCCCUAGUCUCUGCUCAUCUGUAAAAUAGGAGUGACAACCUUUGGAUAUACUGAAGAGCACUCACACAAAAGUCACAUUCAAGCAUAGCACUCAAGUGUGUCCUCCCUAGACUAUUGGGCCUCUAGACUGGAUCAUUUGCUGUCUGACCUUGGACUUAACUCUGUUUGUCCCAGGCACUGGAUUCCCAAGGUGGGUGCAAUAGCUGGGUUGGGGCUUGGAGGUAUAUGUUGGCAUAUCUUGGCAGUUCUCUGAUGUGUAGGGGGAAACAUAUUGGUGGGUGGCCUACUUGCACAGGAAAUCCAAAUAGCCAGACUGGAGCUCUGAAGAAGUUGUGGAGGCUUCAAAUGACCAUUUCAGAAUGGUAGUAACUCUGGGCCACAGAGCAUCCUCAUGGUGUGGCCUGACUGUCCUGCUCCAUCUGGGUUGGAGUUGGGAAGAUACAGCAGUCUCUGCCCGAGGUCUGCAGUAGAACUAGCCAGAUGAAAGGUCGCUUCAGGGUUUUGCCUUCCACAGAGGAGCUGAG
rnacentral:lncRNA from 1 species